rnacentral:rRNA from 1 species
UACGUAGGGGGCAAGCGUUGUCCGGAAUCAUUGGGCGUAAAGAGCGUGUAGGCGGCUCGGUAAGUCCGCUCUGAAAGCCCGGGGCUCAACCCCGGGAGGCGGGCGGAUACUGUCGGGCUAGAGUCCGGAAGAGGCGAGUGGAAUUCCUGGUGUAGCGGUGGAAUGCGCAGAUAUCAGGAGGAACACCGGUGGCGAAGGCGCCACUCUGGGCCGGUACUGACGCUGAGGAGCGAAAGCGUGGGUAGCAAACAGG